rnacentral:rRNA from 1 species
UAGCGGCGGACGGGUGAGUAACACGUGGAUAACCUACCCUACUAAGACCUGGGACUAACCUUCGGGAAACCGGAGCUAAUACCGGAUAAUAUUUUGAACCCGCAUGGUUCAAAAGUGAAAGACGGUCUUGCUGUCACUUAUAGAUGGAUCCGCGCUGCAUUAGCUAGUUGGUAAGGUAACGGCUCACCAAGGCAACGAUGCAUAGCCGACCUGAGAGGGUGAUCGGCCACACUGGAACUGAGACACGGUCCAGACUCCUACGGGAGGCAGCAGUAGGGAAUCUUCCGCAAUGGGCGAAAGCCUGACGGAGCAACGCCGCGUGAGUGAUGAAGGUCUUCGGAUCGUAAAACUCUGGUUAUUUAGGGAAGAACAUAUGUGUCAAGUAAACUGUGCACAUCUUGACGGUACCUAAUCAGAAAGCCACGGCUAACUACGUGCCAGCAGCCGCGGUACAUACGUAGGUGGCAAGCGUUAUCCGGAAUUAUUGGGCGUAAAGCGCGCGUAGAGCGGUUUUUUAAGUCUGAUGUGAAAGCCCACGGCUCAACCGUGGAGGGUCAUUGGAGACUGGAAAACUUGAGUGCAGAAGAGGAAAGUGGAAUUCCAUGUGUAGCGGUGAAAUGCGCAGAGAUAUGGAGGAACACCAGUGGCGAAGGCGACUUUCUGGUCUGUAACUGACGCUGAUGUGCGAAAGCGUGGGGAUCAAACAGGAUUAGAUACCCUGGUAGUCCACGCCGUAAACGAUGAGUGCUAAGUGUUAGGGGGUUUCCGCCCCUUAGUGCUGCAGCUAACGCAUUAAGCACUCCGCCUGGGGAGUACGACCGCAAGUUG